rnacentral:rRNA from 1 species
CCCUUAGAUGUUCUGGGCCGCACGCGCGCUACACUGACGAAUGCAACGAGCUUAUAACCUUGGCCGAAAGGUCUGGGUAAUCUCCAAAUUUCGUCGUGAUGGGGAUAGAUUAUUGCAAUUAUUAAUCUUCAACGAGGAAUGCCUAGUAAGCGCAAGUCAUCAGCUUGCGUUGAUUACGUCCCUGCCCUUUGUACACACCGCCCGUCGCUCCUACCGAUUGAAUGGUCCGGUGAAGCGUUCGGACCUUGGCCUUUGGACGGUUCGCCGUCUGUUGGCUGCGGGAAGUUCGUUAAACCUUAUCAUUUAGAGGAAGGAGAAGUCGUAACA